rnacentral:rRNA from 1 species
GUCUACGGCCAUACCACCCUGAACGCUCCCGAUCUCGUCUGAUCUCAGAAGCUAAGCAGGAUUGGGCCUGGUUAGUACUUGGAUGGGAGGAAGUAUAUAUACAUGUUUCUCUGACC